UUUUGGUGUACAAGUUUGUCUUGACUUUCUUCCUCGAUGGCUCUGAAGCAAGCUGACAUGUUGUGAACAGCCCUAUGGAGAGGCCCACAUGGCACAGAACUGAAGGCAGGCUUUGGCCAAUAACCAGCAAGAAACUGAGCCCUUACUCCAGCAGCCCACAAGGAACUGAAUCCUGCCGACGGCCACGUGAACUUGGAAGUGAAUCCUUUUCUAGCUGGGCUUUUAUGUUAGACUCCAGCCUUUGCCAACACUUUGAUUGCAGCCUCUUGAGAGAGCCUUAAGUGGAGGCCCCAGAGAUUCUCCAGUUGCAGGCAGUUGUGAAAAUCAGACCACCCUAUUUGCAAUAUCCCAUUGAAUGACAGAUCCAAACUCUGCAAUGACUUCAGUUUCCACAGUCCUGUUAAAAUGAAAAAGUUCUAGAACUUAGUUGGUUAAUGUGAGGCUGCUACAUUUGGUCUAUCAACCUAACUGGAAUCCCAACAAGAUGUUGUUCCUGCUGCAUUUCCAGUUACUCUGUGAGCACUCCAAAAAUACUGCUUGAUGAAGCUGUCCCUUGAACCUGAAAACAAAUGUGGAAUUCUUAUGAACAUGAAACAACUCCACGUAAGCAUUGUUUCUCUGCCUAGUUAAAAUUGUACUCACCCUUGGGAGUGUCACUGAGUUUAUUUCUUUGAAGAAUGAGC
rnacentral:lncRNA from 1 species